rnacentral:lncRNA from 13 species
AGGGGAAUGUCCCCAUCCCCCUUGUGAUGCAAGUUGAUGACAAGGCACCCUGUACAAAGCAGCCAGUAAGGAGAGUCCCAGCCACCCAGGUGAAGAGCUCUGCCCGGACACCCAGAAGAUCAACUCCACCCACCACUCAGGCGAAGAGCUCUGCCCAGACACCAAGGCAAGGGGCUCUGCCUAGACACGCAGGCAAUGGGCUCUGCCUGGAUACCCAGGCGAACAGCUCUACCCAGACACCCAGGCGAGGAGCUCCACCCAGACACCCAGAUGAGGGGUUCUGCCUGGACACCCAGGCUCUGAUGGACUCAUUUAUGACAUCUCUAACCCUGAACCAGUCGCAAUGCCCAAGGGAUGAGGGUGCUUGGAUCUGCUGGGGUGGAGUGAGUGGGAGGAAACACAGGACCUCAGAUGAAGCCCAC